GAGUGUCAUCAUCUUUCUUUGACAUGGAUAAAACCAAGAUGCCCUUCUUGUUCUUGUCGUAUUCCGAGGAAAGACGAUCGAGUCAGGUUUCAAGGACGAAACAACGGAGGAGAAACGAUGUCCAUUGAAGAAUUUGGAGGAGAAGGCAGUGUCAAGGGACGAAGUCUGCAUAAUUCUGGAGUCCAUGGCCAGAAUAAAACAAUAUAACAACAAGCUUAAAGUAAUUAACUCUUGGUAAACUUUUAAGCCAACAAGAAAAGAACAAAACCUGAGGCGACGUUGAAAGGCACUGGAGUGGCUUUGGUGUGAGAA